GGCCGCAGUAUAUUGUCUGUGCAAAGGUAGCAUAAUCAUUAGUCUUUUAAUUGAAGGCUGGUAUGAAUGGUUGGAUGAGGUGAAUUCUGUUUUAUUUUAAUUUAUGUUGAAUUUAGAUUUUAAGUAAAAAGACUUAACUAAUAUUAAGGGACGAGAAGACCCUAUAGAGUUUAAUAAAUGCAUUAAUUAGUUGGGUUAUGAAUAUGAUUUUUGAUUAUUAUGAAAUUUAUUUAAUUGGGGUGAUUGGAAGAUAAAAACAACUCUUCUUUAUGUUUAAUAUUUUUAUUAGCAAUUUGAUCCGUAUUUAAUGAUUAAAAGAUUAAAUUACCUUAGGGAUAACAGCAUAA
rnacentral:rRNA from 1 species